AUACGGAGGGUGCAAGCGUUAAUCGGAAUUACUGGGCGUAAAGGGUACGUAGGCGGUUAAAUAAGUUGGAUGUGAAAGCCCCGGGCUCAACCUGGGAACUGCAUUCAAAACUGUUUGACUAGAGUGUAUGAGAGGUUGGCGGAAUUCCAGGUGUAGCAGUGAAAUGCGUAGAUAUCUGGAGGAACAUCAGUGGCGAAGGCGGCCAACUGGCAUAACACUGACGCUGAGGUACGAAAGCGUGGGGAGCGAACGGGAUUAGAAACCCCAGUAGUCC
rnacentral:rRNA from 1 species